rnacentral:lncRNA from 1 species
CUUUCUAUCUCAAAAACUCUGCUAAAAUUUUCGUUCGAGCACUCCAUUCUUGUUGAGGUAGAGAAUUGACCUGAGCAUCGGAGGAUCUUGACGGAGAAACCCCAACUCCAGUUUAGACUUCUUUUGUAGGUCCCGACGGCGACCGUGAUUCCUUCGACUCCAGAUUCUCCGACGCAGGCGGAUUUUUGCACCAACAAGAUUGACGCUAGAGGAAGGGGCUGUGCCUUCGCAGUACCCUUGUUCUUAAAGGAGCGCUCAAUGGGACCGCCUUCGAUCAUCUCUUCCGGCAUCCUCUCCUCCUUCCCCCACU